rnacentral:rRNA from 1 species
AGAUUGAACGCUGGCGGCAUGCCUUACACAUGCAAGUCGAACGGCAGAGUAGCAAUACUUGAGAGUGGCGAACGGGUGAGUAAUAUAUCGGAACGUGCCCAGUCGUGGGGGAUAACGUAGAGAAAUUUACGCUAAUACCGCAUACGAUCUAAGGAUGAAAGCGGGGGACCGUAAGGCCUCGCGCGAUUGGAGCGGCUGAUAUCAGAUUAGGUUGUUGGUGAGGUAAAAGCUCACCAAGCCGACGAUCUGUAGCUGGUUUGAGAGAACGACCAGCCACACUGGGACUGAGACACGGCCCAGACUCUACGGGAGGCAGCAGUGGGGAAUUUUGGACAAUGGGCGAAAGCCUAGAUCCAGCAAUGACCGCGUGCAGGAAGAAGGCCUUCGGGUUGUAAACUGCUUUUGUACGGAACGAAACGGUCUGCUUUAAUACAGCGACUAAUGAACGGUACCGUAAGAAUAAGCACCGGACUAACUACGUGACC